rnacentral:misc_RNA from 1 species
UGGCCGCUCAGCAUUCUUGCG